GGCUCAUUAGUCUCGGGGUAUCAUUCUCGCUUUGGGUGUGAGAAGUCCCUGGUUCAACUCUCGGAUGAGCCC